CUCCCAGACUCCUACGGGAGGCAGCAGUGGGGAAUCUUCCGCAAUGGGCGAAAGCCUGACGGAGCAACGCCGCGUGAUCGAAUGAAGGCCUUCGGGUUGUAAAGAUCUGUUGACAGGGACGAAUAAGCAAUGCGAAUAGUUUUGUGUAUGACGGUACCUGUUUAGAAAGCUCCGGCUAACUACGUGCCAGCAGCCGCGGUAAUACGUAGGGGGCAAGCGUUAUCCGGAUUUACUGGGUGUAAAGGGAGCGUAGGCGGUUUAGCAAGUCAGAAGUGAAAGCCCGGGGCUCAACUCCGGGACUGCUUUUGAAACUGUUGAACUAGAUUGCAGGAGAGGUAAGUGGAAUUCCUAGUGUAGCGGUGAAAUGCGUAGAUAUUAGGAGGAACACCAAUGGCGAAGGCGGCUUACUGGACUGUAAAUGACGCUGAGGCUCGAAAGCGUGGGGAGCAAACAGGAUUAGAUACCCCGGUACUU
rnacentral:rRNA from 1 species